AACAGCAAGAAGAAAUUAGAUAUCCUGAUGUCAAAGAUCAAAUUUACCCCAAGGAACUCUGUCAGGCUGCCUGUCUGCCUUGCUGCUGGAGGUAUAAUGGCUGCUCAGGAGAGACAGAACAAAGUCCGAGUUAGGAGUCUCCGGGUGUCAUUCUCCAAGGAACCAGAAAAGGAUAAAGUCUGGCCGGAAUAAAAGGUUCCCUAGAGUACCGGUCUGCCUGGAAAAGCCAAAGUGUUACAGCUCUCCGAAGGGAAGCUGGGAUCUUUCCUGAUACUCUAACAGCGCCAAUGCCAGCAGUAGCAGUGGUGGUGGUCCAAGGCAAGCAGCAGCAGGCAGCAGAGAACCACAGCUGGAGCCCCUAGCAAGCAGGCAGCUGGAAGUAGCUAUGAACAGCAACAAGCUGUGUCAGGGGCAUGAGCCCAGCCUGUUGGUCAGACCCAAAGUCCAUCGAGGAAUGCUUCGGGAGAGAAAACUUUCCCAGUGUUUCAGCUCAAUGGAACAGCCACUCUCAAACGAUUCUUGAUGAAAUAACUCCUGCACUUUAUUCCAUGUGGAUAGAGACCUUAUAAACAUUUUGGGAGUAGGGUGGGAUCCAGGGGUAAAUGUUUCCCAUUGGCUCAGUCUGAGAUGUUAGGGAUGCUCUAUUUGCAUGGGGAAGGGCUUCAGGUGACUGAUUGCUGAUUGUCAUGGCUCUCUCAAUGGGAUGUCAUGGUUAUGUAUUCCAGGACAAGUAGAGCAGGGAGCUGGCCCCAUGCCUGCCAUUCUUAAUUCUGAGGUUUCCCAGGAUUUGGGCUUGCUCAACCUUACCAGUUCUGUCUGGUAACACGGUCCACUUGCCCCACAGAACUUGACACCCCUAAUUAGCAGGAAGCAGUCUAAUGGUAAUGUUGCCGCCUUUCUGACUCCUGAAUUUAUUCAGUGAUCUCUUUCCUUUCAUCUCUAUCUAUUCUUCUCUUUUAUCGAGUGUUAGGGGGUUGAAAGGGUAGAAGAAAAGGUGUGGGUAAGGGUGGAAGAAAGAAGAACCCACAAAGUAUCGAAAGAUGACUACAAAUGGAUGGAUUAAUUAGAUAGAUAGAUAGACAGACAGAUAGACAGAUAGACAGACAGGUGAUAACAGAAAGAUGUUAGGCAGAUAGAUAGAUAGAUAGAUAGACAGACAUACAGGUAGACAGACAGGUAGAAAUAGAUAUAAAUAUACAUAAUUUUGACCUCUUUAUUCUAGGUUGCUUUUCCCACUGUUUCUUUAGAAAUUAAGUUAAGCCCUUCCACAGUGAAAAUGUUGAAUCUCUAAACCAUUAAUUGGAGUGGAUCCUUAAUAUGUACCAAAAAUUUUUUUUAGCUUUUUUAUGUUUGAACAGAACAGGUAUAAGGUUGAAGCCAGUGUGUCAGAAAGCACAAAGCGAGACAGCUGGGGCCUGCCGGUGGCCAAUCCUAUCUCAUAGACAGUAACAGAAGAGGUGUUUAUCUUCCCACCAUGCUUCUGAGAAUAAGGAGCUAGAGAGCCUCAUUUGGUUUCUGAGUCACCCACUGACUAGGAAAUGUUAGGUUCAGUAAUUUAUGUCUUGAAACUGCUUCAGUUCUGCCUCCCAGGGUUAUUACGUGCUUCCAAAGGGUUUGUGGGUAAAUGUUCCCAGAAGAGCACCAUGACCUAUGCUCUAAGGUACACUUAAAAUGUCCUCAACAAAGACUUUGCUAUCAUGUCUGCUUUCCACAGGGAUGGACACAGGCUGCCCUAAGAUGUGCACCUGUGAGACAUGAUCUAGCAGGAGCACAGAGGUUAAGAAGGAAAUUAAUAUGUAAUAGAUGCUUUCCCAGGAGCAAAAAGGAGUUUUCAUCCUGGCCCACAGAAAACAACAACUGACUGGCUGAAACCAUACUGUCAUUCACUGUGGCUUUAAGAAUGUUUGCUGGGCUGGAGAAAUGGCUCAGAAGUUAAGAGCACUGACUGCUCUUCCAGAGGUCCUGUGUUCAAUUCUCAGCAACCAGUCCGAUGCCCUCUUCUGGUGUGUCUGAAGAGAGUGACAGUGUAUUCAUAUACAUAAAAUAAAUAUAUAAAUCUUUUUUAAAAAGAAAGAAAAGAAAAAGAUAGUGUUUGUCAUGUUUCAGAACACUCAGGCACAUGGGUGUGUGCAAGAGGCUGUUCACUUUUAGUUAGGUAGAUCCCACUGGCAGCAUGGGGAAGCUGCUGGAAGUUUUAGUUACCUGACAGUCCCUGGCAUGUCACAUGAGUUAAAGGGUGUCCUCACCCACUCCCAAUUUUAUACCUCCUACACUGUGUAGCCACUGUUCAGACUGUGUGUGACUAUGGGCAUUUGUGCUUCCCAUGACAUCAUACCACCUUGUGAUGUCACAUCCAGGUCCUUUGUGCACACAUACUUUAUAAUGUUCAUCUAUGGACCAGCCUCAUGAGGCACUUCCCAGCAUGCCUUCCUAGUUAAAUGACACACGAUGACUUUGCAAACAGCUGUUUCCUCUUCCUUCCUAAUACUUACACCACGGUUCAUUCUCUGACCAGGACCAGGUGUGACAUGGGCCCAAGGGAUGGACACAUGUCCAGUGCUGAUCACCCUGUUCCUUCUAGGUCUGACUGUGUUGUUCUGGAAGGGAAGAAAACAUAUGUGCUGCUUGGUCUGCCAUCUUAAACCAGAAGUCUGAAAUACGGGUCUGAAUGCUGCUCGCAAGGAUAUCUUACAUUGAGGAUAGCAGGCACCAGAGACUCUGUACCAUAAACAUUUCCACAAGAAACGGCCUCUAACUGAACCUGGAACUCACUGACUGAACUCGAGUUGCUGUUGAGAAAGCCCCAGGGACUGUUUGGUCUUCUCCCGCUCAAAAUUUGCGAUGCAGUGCCUCCUCAGGCCCAUCAAAGUCUUCCAGGAUCACGCAGAGGACCAUGCCACAGUCGGAAGUGAGCAACAGCUCUGCAGAGCCACCUUUGGAUCAUCAAUCAUCUGCCUUCCCAGGACCACCCAGCAGUGAUGCACGUAGAGCAGAGGUGCAGUGAUGCACGUACAGCAGAGGCGACCCCUUCUCCAUACUUCAGAGACCUCUAGCAUGGUGUUGUGGGACAGCUGGUGUUGUGAAUCAGGCCGUUGCCAAUCAGAGAACGGCUACUUCACAACACCAGGGCCACACUGCACUGCAAGCAGCGAGCAGCAAGCAACAAGCAUCCAGACACCUGAGCACCAGGAUGCCAGCAAGAGCACCUGCCUUCCUUACAGGACUCCUCCCGCUGGCUCCAGACCACUUCUGCUUACUCUCCAGCUCCUGCCCUAUGGUGUAACUGAGGCUGCUGUUUAUUGUAACACAAAGCUCAACUUCAGAAGAAAGCACCAACUCCAGGCAGCAUUAGCUUCCCACAAAGGCAACAGAACAAACAGGUCUCCCAGGGUGAGGGAAGAAGAAGAUGUUCUCAGGCCCUUAGAAAGGCUGAGCACUCUUAAUUGAAUGUCUCCUCAGAGGGUCUGGAAACACACGGAGACUAUAGAACCAGGCCCUUUCCCCCUUUGUUUCCUUUCCUUUUAUUUUUCUAUUACUUUUUUUUUAAGUGUGUAUAUGUGUGGGUGUGAAUGUGUGUGCAUGUGUAUGGGGGAUGUAAAACCAGUUUUAAUUAAACUCUAAUUAUUUAUGUAUGUGUAUUGCCUAUGUGAGUUUAUGUGUACCAUGUGUGUAGGCGCCUGAGCAGUUCUGAAGAUGGGUGUCCAAUCUGCUGAAACUAGAGCUGUAGGGGUUAUGAAGAGCCAUGUGAGUUCUGGGAACUGAACCUCUGCAAGAGGGAAAAACCAUCCUUAAACCUCAUAACCUGCUCCUCAGCCCCACAUCUAUUUACUUAUUUAAGUGUCUCUGUGUAUGCAUGUUAGUGCUAUAACACACCGGUAGUGCAAUGAUUCUCCAUCUGGGGAUCAUUGACCCAGCAAAUGACCCUUUCAUAGGGGUUACCCUAAGACCAUCAGAAAACAGAGAUGUUUAUGUUACGGUUCUUAACAGUAGCAAAAUUACAGUUAUGAAGUAGCAACAAAAAUAGUUUUAUGGUUGGGGUCGCCACAACAUGAGGAACUGUAUAUUAAAGGGUUGCAGCUUUAGGAAGGUUGAGAACCACUGAUGUAGAGGUCAGAGAACAACUAGCAAGAGUUAGUUCUCCCCUUCUAUCCUGUGGGUCCUAGGUUUGGCCACACGCACCUUCACCUGCUGAGCCAUCUCACCAACCAUCCUGCUUAUUUUCUUAGUAGAGUCUUAACUGAGCUGGGACCUCAUGAAUUCAGCUAGAGUGGCUGGUCAGCAAGCCCUGGGGAUCCUCUUGACUCUGCCUCCCAGAAUGUGUGCCCCCAUGCCUGACUUUUAGGUGGGUGCUGGGGAUCUAACUCAGGUUGUCAUGCCAACAAACACUGGGCCAUCUCUCCAGCUCUUUGUUUUGAUAUUAGCAAUGGUAUCUUUGUCUUGGGCAGUGGAGAAGGGAGAAGCUGGUCAAAGGGUGAUGGUCUUAGAUGGUGACUCCACUGUAGCCUUCAUAGAGCCCCCUGUAGGGGCAGCUUGUGUUUGUGUCCCAAAUGGUCCCAGAUUCCCUAAGCAGCUGAUUCCAUCCUUUAAGAGCAAUAUUUCCACUGGGCACAUGUGCACAUGCCUGUCUGUGACAAAGACUGACCAGAGCCAAGCACGGUGAUGUCGGAGGCUCCUGUAGAUCAUACAUGUUGUUGUGUUGGCAAGUGGUUUCCUAGCCCCAGGUCAUAGCCAGAGUCCCUUUAGACUUGAAGACCUAAGGUCUCCUGAACUUCAGUAUUUUUGUGUCUAACAAAAUUACUUGUGGCACCAUUUUUCAGAGCCCAGGCAGACUCUUAAAAGCUGCAUCGCAUCCUUUCUGACAUACUAAGGAAAAAUAAAGAUCCCCCUCUCUGCCUUUGUGUAGCAUAAGGAGCCUAAGGCACCCUGAACCCUGUGCUGCAAACUGUUUGCAUGAGGCUUGUGCUGGGGCCUCAUAGGAAGUGGGGAAAACCCAGGACAAGUCCUCUGCAAACACUGCCCAGCAUAAAGGUUACCCAGACAGAUCCUGGGUGAGCCAGAGCCACUUAUGUCUCUGUCACCUUAAAGCUGGGAAGAAGAACCUCUUGUUUCUUACAAUCUCCUGUCCCUCACCCCAUUCCUAAACCUCUAAGGAUAGAUGUGGCAUUUGUACUAAAUUGUGUUUGCCUUCAGACUAAAAGGAGUUCUCAAAAUGAUCUCCCUAGCAUCUCAUUAGAAAACAUAAACCAUAAACCUCACAUCUCUGAGAAUCCUGACUCAGCUUCAUUGUGAGGCACCUAUGGAAUCCUUGGUUCCAUGUCCCCUGCUGCAUCAGACUCUCCAUCAGGGACCAUGAGGCAGGUGGUAACUAUGGUCACAGUCUGUGCAGGUUCCUUCGCUGUGCCCAGCCCCACUGCAUUCUCUCUAGCCCCAUAUUUUCUGCAUGCUCAUAAUCAUCUUCUCAAAACACACAUUCAGACCACGUAAGCCCCCCAUGGGGCUGAGCUACUAUAAGGACCUGACCUUGCCCUCCCUGUAGAAGGCCUGGCGAUGGGUAUAGAUCCUUCUCUCCCAAUCCUCUCCCUUCCCAUCCUUCUGUUCUCUUCCGAGAUCCCCCUGCCCUCCCCGGUGCCCAGGCUUCAGGAUACUCCCAGCCCAUCCUCCCAUGACUGAUGCCUGAUUGGUGGUUUCAUAGAUACUUCAGAGAGCUCUAGUUUCCCAGUUUAAGAAGAACAGGUAGUUGCCAGUCCACGAACAUGGCAGGAUGCAUUCCCUAUGCUUGGAGCCUUCAUUGCUUCCGCCCUUCUGCCUUCCAUGGCAGGGUUCGUCUUUGCCUGGGGGCAGGGCUUCUGCUCAUUGACUGUUACAGCCUUGUCCCUGCUCACUGGCACUGAGAAUAAGUCUGCUAAAUGAAUGGGCGAGUGUGCCCAUGCUGUGAGCAUCCUCCCUGAACGUCCUCCCUGAAUGUCCUCCCUGAGCAUCCUCCCUGAGCAUCCUCCCUGAAUGUCCUCCCGGCAUCCCCCCUGAGCAUCCCUUGCUCUUUAUUGAGUCCUGCAUCUUUUAUUUCCUUUUGGCAGUGUUGCAGCAACAGCUACCAGUAGAGCAGAUCUUCUGCCAGGUGCUGCCUUGGUUCCUCCAUUUUUUCUAUCGGGUGGGCUGUAGACCCACGCUAACAGAAAGUGCCACCAGGGUAACAUCCAUGUCAUUGGUCACCAGUGUCCCUGCUGUUCAAACCUAGGCCCUGAAGUCUGUCUCCUGAGCCACCGUGUUAUGAUGCAGAGGAGCUUGGUCACUCCCAGGGACCCAGGAAAGCCCUCCGUAUUCUCAGAACCUUCUACCCUAGUGUCUUUAACUAGGUGCCCCACCACCAACAACCACACAGUCCUUUAUAACAGGUUUUAACCUUGUUUGAAGGGCUUUGGUGAUGGGACAUGAUUUAAAACCUUGUAAAAUAUGGAAUGAGGUCACAUCCUGAGAAAAUGAGGGAAUCCUUUAAGGCCUAGAAGAAUGUCGAUUUGAAUUUGGCGUGAUACCAGAAAGAUCUUUUGAGGUUUAUAUAUGACCUUCAAAGGCUGAAGCUGCAAAUUCUGAUGAGGGCCUACUUGGAACUCGGUGUUUGGGGUGUGGAGCACAGUUCUGGGUUCUCUUCUCAGUUCACAACUCCACCAGAGCACCACUCCAAGCCACACAUGUCUGCCCAUCGUGUGUCUUUCAUUCCAAAGUGCAUUGUGACUCACUGAGAACAUCAGUCCCUGCUCCAGAACAUUCUAGACCCUCCACUUAGGAGGAUUUGAUAACACCCGUGGGAAAGAAACAAGACUGUACAGCCCUGCUUUUUGUAGCCUUCUCUUAGCAGCCUGUGCCACAGGAAGUGCGGUGUCGCAUGGCGUCUGAAAUGCUAUUUUUAAAGGCAUUGGAAUGAAAAGGCUGGGAACGGCGCUCGGUCGGUAGAGUGCUCGCUAUACAAGCAUGAGGAACAGAGUUUGAUCCCCAGCAUCCACAUAAAAAAAGGUGGUCGGAGCAGCAUGUCCUUGUAGUCCCAGCAGAUGAGAGGCAGAGACUGGCAGACCUCUGGCACUCGCUAGGCAUCCAGCAGCCAAGAGGUGGAUCAGGAAUGGUAAGAAACCUGCCCUGGCCAUACAGCCUAGCCCUUUGUUCCCAGAACCAGAGUUUUUCACGAUCUAGGACAAAGACAAUGCCCUCAGGACCCUGGUGGAAUUUACCAUGUGCUAAACAUUUGUGUCAUCUCAGAACCCAGCACCCCCUGGGAAGGCGAGCAAAUUCUUCCUAGCGUUUAUGUGAGGACCAGGUUUAGGUCCCAUAGCUGGGCUAUCAUGCCCCCAGAGGUGUGCUGAUCAACUACCUAAAAGGCAUUCUGCUCACACUCUGUAAUCAGUUCCUGCCACCUAUCCCCGGCUAUGUAGACAUGAGUAAUUUCAAAGGUUCCUAACUGUCUCCAAGUUGAAACCUGGGGCUUGGGGCCAGCAUGCUGAAAGUGAGAAAAAAUAAAAAUGAAAACAACCCCCAAUCAUCCCUUUUUGGAGGGAAGGUCAUUUGGGCCCACAAAAGUCACCUGUGGUCUGGUCUCCUCCCACCGGACAUUGAGUUUCCCGGGGCAGGAUUCACUAUCUACUUUGUUGCAUGGGUGCACCCCAAAGGUCACACAGUAGGGCUUAGGAUACAGCUGAUGUCUGGUGCAAGACUGUACUGUGAACAGUCCUGGGUUCCUCUACUGUCGAUGCUGGAAUGCUAGAUACCCAGCCUGCCAAAUGUGUAUAAUUCUCAUGGGAGACUCAUAGGCUAUCUGCAUGUUAGCUCAGCUCAGCAGAACAGGAAGGUCUCUGGGCUCAGAACCCCAUCAGUAACCUGGGCACUAAAGCCUUCAGCAGAUGCCUAUAGCAGUGACCCUGUGGUUGUCACAGACACACUUUGAAACUGGUUGCAACUUGCUGACCUUAUUAAGGACAAGAACCAACUCAUCUGCUGCCUCUCAUGAGCUCCAAAGCCAGCCUGUUACACUCACAUGGUACCACAUCCUUUAACAGGGUGCACAGCCAUCAUUGCACAAGAAAUACCCUCUGGAUCGCAGAGCAUGGGGCUUGUCUGACUCCCCCAUCAGCGGGUGUGGUAGACAGUAUGGUACAUCUGCAGGACAUCUGACUUGCCACCCAUACAGUGUCCUGCUGGGUUGCUUAUGUUCCUCAGUACAUCAAACACAGGCAGUGCUCACAGCCCAAUGGAUGCCCUUUCAGCCAGCUUAAGGAAAGGCUGUCAACAAGAAUAUUAUGUCUCUCUAUGCAGGCAUGGAGAAAAGUGACAUGAUGUGAACUAGGACCUAGAGAGAAGGUCUCAACACUGUCCUUUGCAGCCAAAGCUUGAGUAACAGCUAACCCAGCUGUUCUGUCUAAAUUGUCAACUGGAGCAAGAAGCCAGGAGACAAGGAGUUAAUGCAAAGAUUCGGGAAUGCUAUACCUGGUCCCUCUGUGCCACCACCCUCUGUGAUCCCGGAAGGGACAAUGCCCUUCUACUUAGCACCUCCAUGUUCCAAGAGAAAGAAAGGGGAGCUGGAGUCCAGCAGACUUGGAAAUCCUGGGCAGAACUUCAUCUCUGGACCCCAGAGCUAGAAACACUGGGGAAAGCUGAGAUCUCACACUGUUGGAGAUUGGUUCUCAUGCUUUGAUUCAAUCAGGAACCUGCAUGUCCAAACAGCAAGGUCCUUGUCACCAAUUGGUUUUUGAUCAAUCAAUAAAGAUGCCAGCACCAAUGGUUGGGCAAAGGGAAAUGGGGUGGGACCCUUAGAAUUGUGCGGCUCGGACUCGGGAGAGAGGAGGAGACGCUGAAUCACCACCACUGGGGGAGAGAGACAGAUCAGAUUUAGAGCUACAGAGGGAAGAUCAUCCGAAAUGUAAGGGUAAAGGGAAGGUUCCCUGGAAGGGCAGCCCAGAAGCAGACCAAUGGGCCUCACAGAAGGUAACAGGGCAGCAAAGUUAAAAGUAGAUUUAGAAGAUGUUGAGCCAGGAGUUCCAGAGGGUAAAGCAUACUAGCAGAGGGAGGCUCAGAACUGCCAAACCCUUGAGUAGCCAAGGCACUUCAAAAAUAAACUAAUGUGUGUGUGUCUUUCAUUCUCAGAACCAAAGAGUUCUUGGUCAGGUGGCUAGAAGUGUGCUCCCAGAUGCUACAACACGGGAGAGAAAAAAACUAAAGUAGCAAGAGAGAAGGUUCCUGGGUGCCCGCAUUGCUGAUAACCAGCAGCAUCUGACAGAAUGGGCAACAAGUUAGCAACUGUUUUGUGGGGCUUCCUACUACACGAGCAACGAAUGUAUAUUGUCAUUUAAGACAUAAAAAUGUAAAAAUAUAAGCUGGAGACGGCUCAAAGCUAAGUGCACUUGCUGGUUGUCCGUUCAUUCUUAGCAUCUUAGAACCAUCUCAACUGUUCUUAAGUGAUAUGACGCCCUCUUCUGGCUUCCAUGGGUACUGCAUGCAUGUGGUACAAAUACAGACAUGCAGGCACUCACUCAUACAGACAAAUAAAAACAAGUAAAUUUUAACUGCUGGCUUGACAAGCCUCGGAGAGUGGGGGAGGAAUCUAAAAUCUCCAUGCCUCUUCACAGCUAAGCACUGAGUUCUCCUGCCCUACUCAUCUGAAUCUUAUACUUAACACGAAUAGAACCACACUGUAGGGUGCUUUGAACUUAGACUUUUCUGGUAGUGUGGAGAAUUAAAAAAAAAAAAAAUCAAGAUCAUUAAAUGUCCUUUGCUGAACUGUGCGUUGUGGCUGCACACGCCCUUGAGCAAGGUACCAAGAUUUGUUUGACUGACUCCUUAGUAUUAAGCAUUCUGAUGCUAAUAAAGAUAAAAUGGGAGAGGUUGAUCCAGGGCUUCUCCUCACAGCUCGAUCUUGGAUCCAGUAGCUCCCUUCUGAGAACAUGGUGAAAGGAGACUUGGGGGCAUACUUCCAAGAACUUCUGAAAUAUCAGCCAAGUUGCCUUCCUUGUGGAAGUGCCCAUUCCCCACAAAGUUUUCACCUACCUGAUAAAUGGGUGACAGAGGACGCAGACCCAACUGUUGUCCAUCAAGCCUAGCUCCUUGACUGCCCGGCUGAGGUGGGAAGGAAUCGCUUGCACAGGCAUGAGACAAUGCUAGCCCUGGAGCAUAGGCAUCAGGACCCAAGGUUGGCCCCAGGUUCUCAGCAUUGGAGACAUCAUGGACAUGGGCACAGGUCUGAAAGAUCUGUGAUCUGUUAGGCAACCUGGGAAACGGCUCUGAUUCCAGCUUCAUAUGAUGUUGCCACUUAAGUUGUGUGAUCUUUGGGCUUCUCACCACUGUUUUCUAGGACCCAUAGACAGAAGAAAUGGAGACUAAUAAUGUCUCCUGUGCCCUUCCCCUAGCCUUGAGCAGGCUGCUCAGACCUGACUUGCUACAGCAGGCUAGCCCACCUAGGGUGGAAUCUUAGACCUAGGUAAAGUCUAUUGUCCUGCCACACCUGCAGCUUUCCUCCAAGACGCCACUACCUCCUAAGAGGCUGAACCUGUUCUCCAGACACUAUCCUGAUGCAACAACCCCCUUUAUAAGCUCAGACUCAUAAGUAAACAUUGGCCUUGAUC